GACGAACGCUGGCGGCGUGCUUAACACAUGCAAGUCGAACGGGAUCCAAAGGCUUUUUGUUUUUGGUGAGAGUGGCGAACGGGUGAGUAACACGUGAGUAACCUGCCCCCUUCUUUUGGAUAACCGCAUGAAAGUGUGGCUAAUACAGGAUAUUCCAGGCUGGUCGCAUGAUUGGUUUGGGAAAUGGUUUGGUCUGGUGGGGGAUGGGCUCGCGGCCUAUCAGCUUGUUGGUGGGGUGAUGGCCUACCAAGGCGGUGACGGGUAGCCGGCCUGAGAGGGUGGGCGGUCACACUGGGACUGAGAUACGGCCCAGACUCCUACGGGAGGCAGCAGUGGGGGAUUUUGCACAAUGGGCGCAAGCCUGAUGCAGCGACGCCGCGUGAGGGAUGAAGGCCUUCGGGGUGUAAACCUCUUUCGCUGGGUUGAAAGGCCAUGCUUUGGGUGUGGUUGAUUUGAACUGGUAAAGAAGUACCGGCUAACUACGUG
rnacentral:rRNA from 1 species